rnacentral:rRNA from 1 species
GCCAGAGGCCUCGAGCGUUAGGCGGAAUCACUGGGCUUAAAGCGUGUGUAGGCGGGCCCGUAAGUGUCUUGUGAAAUCCCACGGCUCAACCGUGGAACUGCUGGGCAUACUGCGGGUCUUGGGCCAACUAGGGGCAGCCGGAACAAGCGGUGGAGCGGUGAAAUGCGUAGAUAUCGCUUGGAACGCCGAAGGUGAAAACAGGCUGCUGGGGUUGCGCCGACGCUGAGACACGAAAGCCAGGGGAGCAAACGGG